CGCGGGGUGGAGCAGCUUGGUAGCUCGUCAGGCUCAUAACCUGAAGGUCGCUGGUUCAAAUCCAGCCCCCGCAA
rnacentral:tRNA from 1 species